rnacentral:rRNA from 1 species
GACGAACGCUGGCGGCGUGCUUAACACAUGCAAGUCGAGCGGUAAGGCCCUUUCGGGGGUACACGAGCGGCGAACGGGUGAGUAACACGUGGGUGACCUGCCCUCAGCUCUGGGAUAAGCCUGGGAAACCGGGUCUAAUACUGGAUAUGACUCCAUGACGCAUGUUGUGGGGUGGAAAGCCUUGUGCGGCUGAGGAUGGGCCCGCGGCCUAUCAGCUUGUUGGGGGGUGAUGGCCUACCAAGGCGACGACGGGUAGCCGGCCUGAGAGGGCGACCGGCCACACUGGGACUGAGACACGG